CUCAGGAUGAACGCUAGCGACAGGCUUAACACAUGCAAGUCGAGGGGCAGCAUAAAAGUAGCAAUACUUGGUGGCGACCGGCGCACGGGUGAGUAACGCGUAUGCAACCUACCUAUCAGAGGGGAAUAACCCGGCGAAAGUCGGACUAAUACCGCAUAAAACAGGGACACCGCAUGGUGAUAUUUGUUAAAGAAAUUCGCUGAUAGAUGGGCAUGCGUUCCAUUAGGUAGUUGGUGAGGUAACGGCUCACCAAGCCGACGAUGGAUAGGGGAACUGAGAGGUUGGUCCCCCACACUGGUACUGAGACACGGACCAGACUCCUACGGGAGGCAGCAGUGAGGAAUAUUGGUCAAUGGGCGAGAGCCUGAACCAGCCAAGUCGCGUGAAAGGAAGAAGGAUCUAUGGUUCGUAAACUUCUUUUGCAGGGGAAUAAAGUGCAGGACGUGUCCUGUUUUGUAUGUACCCUGAGAAUAAGGAUCGGCUAACUCCGUGCCAGCCGCAGC
rnacentral:rRNA from 1 species